UCCCGGGGUGAAGCUUCAGCCCCCGCGGGAUGCGGCGCUCCUUUUUUUUUGGAAGCGAGUUUCUAAGGGCCAGAACGGCUCGGCCCAGUGUUCGGGUGGUUGCAGGGGCUUGUGACCGCGUGGGCCUGUCCCCAGUGUUCGCACGUUGCAGUGUGGUGCAGUAGGAAUUUUUUUUUUUUUUUUAAAGGAGUGUGGCUUUUACGUCUUUAUUUUUACAAGGGGUGAGGUCGGCCGACCUGGUGUUUAUUCAUGAAGGACAUGUAUUGGAGAGGGCAUUACCGACGUUAGACGGGCACAGUACUUUAAUUCCCUCCGUCUCAUUGCGCGGUCAUUUUAAUUUUACUACUCCAGAGCAAACUUAUUUUUACUGGGGAACCUAGGACGACCUACAUGGCUUUUAAUUCUCAUGUUUUUAAAAUGUCUUCGCGCUCUCCCAUCAGAAACCCCGAGUUCCUCCCGUGCUAACGCCUUGCAGCUCAGACGCAACGGCACGAAUGAAAUGUAUAUUGACACACACUCCAAAAUCUUUGCGAUGAAGAAUGAGACUUUUUUCCACUGGCAUUUCUCGACCAUAUGUUUACUUUGUAGCACUGUGGUUGCUACAAAUCAGAUAUGAAAGGAAAAGAGAGCUUUCUUGGAACAUUUACAAGCACAGCACUUUACCAGACCCCCUGCUGGAGGGAGGAAGGCUAGAAAUGAAUACCCUUGAAGUCUUGAAAACAGUCUAGCAGUGGAAAUAAGACAACUACACCAAAUAACUAAGUUAUUGUUGGAUUCUUCUGAUUUGGGAAAAUGGCAUGUCAUCGGUAAACUCCACACUCAGGCUAAGAAGUUUGGAUCCUUAGCCAAAAAUAUUUCAAUCAUAAGGAUGUAAAAGACUGAAUGAAUUAGAUCGUUGAUAAAGACAAGUCACUCAAAAAACAAUGGAUACUGAAACCCCUUCCAGGAGGCAGAAGUUACGGAUCAGUGAUGGUAUGCUGACCCAAAGCAUGUAAACCCCAGACCUGUUGGACUUGAAGGUGGAUGAUGCCGACUCCUAGUUAGCUCACUACCAACCCAUCAGAAGAAUGUCCACAAGCUGAUCAUGCCCUCUUUGAACAAUUACUAUAAAACUCAUCACUAUUUUCCCCAAAUUGGGACACUUAGUUUGGCGGGCAUGAGCCCACUGUGCCUCUUUACCUGGCAAAGCAAUAAAGCUAGCUUUUCUGCUUCACCCAAAA